rnacentral:rRNA from 1 species
AACAGGAUUAGAUACCCUGGUAGUCCACGCCCUAAACGAUGUCAACUGGUUGUUGGGAGGGUUUCUUCUCAGUAACGUAGCUAACGCGUGAAGUUGACCGCCUGGGGAGUACGGCCGCAAGGUUGAAACUCAAAGGAAUUGACGGGGACCCGCACAAGCGGUGGAUGGUGUGGUUUAAUUCGAUGCAACGCGAAAAACCUUACCUACCCUUGACAUGCCAGGAAUCUUGCAGAGAUGUGAGAGUGCUCGAAAGAGAACCUGGACACAGGUGCUGCAUGGCCGUCGUCAGCUCGUGUCGUGAGAUGUUGGGUUAAGUCCCGCAACGAGCGCAACCCUUGUCAUUAGUUGCUACGAAAGGGCACUCUAAUGAGACUGCCGGUGACAAACCGGAGGAAGGUGGGGAUGACGUCAGGUCAUCAUGGCCCUUAUGGGUAGGGCUACACACGUCAUACAAUGGCCGGGACAGAGGGCUGCCAACCCGCGAGGGGGAGCUAAUCCCAGAAACCCGGUCGUAGUCCGGAUCGCAGUCUGCAACUCGACUGCGUGAAGUCGGAAUCGCUAGUAAUCGCGGAUCAGCUUGCCGCGGUGAAUACGUUCCCGGGUCUUGUACACACCGCCCGUCACACCAUGGGAGCGGGUUCUGCCAGAAGUAGUUAGCCUAACCGCAAGGAGGGCGAUUACCACGGCAGGGUUUCGUGACUGGGGUGAAGUCGUAACAAGGUAACC